rnacentral:rRNA from 1 species
GUAGGGUGCGAGCGUUAAUCGGAAUUACUGGGCGUAAAGCGUGCGCAGGUGGUUUUGUAAGCCAGAUGUGAAAUCCCCGGGCUUAACCUGGGAAUGGCAUUUGGGACUGCAAGGCUGGAGUUUGGCAGAGGAGACUGGAAUUCCUGGUGUAGCAGUGAAAUGCGUAGAUAUCAGGAGGAAUACCGAUGGCGAAGGCAGGUCUCUGGGCUAUAACUGACGCUCAUGCACGAAAGCGUGGGGAGCAAACAGGAUUAGAUACCCUGGUAGUCCACGCCCUAAACGAUGUCGACUGGUUGUUGGGGGUUUGACACUCUCAGUAACGAAGCUAACGCGUGAAGUCGACCGCCUGGGGAGUACGGCCGCAAGGUUA